UGAUUUUUGUUUUUUUUUUUUGUUGUUGUUUGUUUUUUUUGGUAGUCUUUCUCUCUCAUUCUCUUUCUCUCUUUUCAGAACUAUUCAAUAAUUCAACACGAACUUGCACAUACUAUAAUUAAUUAAAGUCUUAAUUUCUGAUGAACAGAGGAUCUGUCAUCAUGACAUCCUUCCAUAUGAACAUGAACAUGACAUCCUUCCAUAUGAAGAUUUCAUGUUAGAGAGCCUGACUUGAUUGAUUGUUCUUUUUGAUUGUCAUGGUGUCUGAUAACUUUGGCUAGGAUUCUUUCUGCUUGCCUGAAGAGAAAUAAAAGGUAUUGGGCUUUUGGGCCUAGAGUUACUUUACAUGUCAGACCUUCUGGUGUGACAGUAUGCCAUACUCCAGAACACAUGCCUAUUCUUUACCAAUUUUCUUAGUAGAAAUGGUAAGAAAAGGCUAGAAAAGGCUAAUGGUAAAAAACUUUUAACCCGGGGGGGUUGCAACUUUAGACACUAUUCCUGAUUGCUUUAUUUUCAUUGUGCUUAUAUUCUGUAGAUUUUCUGGAUAUUCAGAUUUUCUACAGGACUUUGAAUAGAUAUAUCUUCCAAAAAGAUCGAGCACUCUGGAGUCCAUUGUCUCUUGAAAUGGCUGUGACUACAACAUUAGCAUCAAUGAGAACUGAGAUUCAGAAUUUUCAUAAGGCUCAGCCAAGGAAUACAAAAGAGGUGGUAUUGUGAUUAAACUACAAAAAAGUCACAAAACGUGACAGGAAAAAGGAGCCAGUACUAGCUUCUGCAGUAUUUUCUCUGAUGAUUUGUUAACUGAAUGAGGCUAGAAAUUUAGCUAUCUAUGCAAAGCUGAAAUUUCAAUGAGAAACCAUAAAACUUGUUUUGCUGUUUUGUUUAUUUUUGAUUUUCCCUGGGAAAAUAAUAAAAAAGAAAAGGAAAUUCCA
rnacentral:lncRNA from 1 species